CUUUUCAGAGAAGGUCUCGAAUCCUGAAGACAGACUUCGAGGGGAUGAUGCAGCAAGAAGACCCACACCAGAUGAGGGCGCCUUGAUAUUGGAUUUCCCAGCCUCCAGAACUCAAAUAAAAAUGCAGUCUGGAUUUUAAGGGCCACACAGCAGCAAGAACUAAAACCUGGGUCUCCAAGGUCCAAGUCCAGGACUUCUCUAUGACACCCUACUGCAGCCCUUUGCUGGAUACCAUACAAAGCAAAUUGAGCAGAUGUGUUCUCUGCCCUCUGAAAGUUUGGACUCAAAUGGACAGCCACAAUUCUGGCAAACAUAAAAGGACAAAGUGAUUUAGUGUCAACUCACAUACGCAAUAAAUAACUGAGUUAAAUAGAUAAGGAAAGGCAUGUUCACCUGGUCUACUGAUAUUUUUUAAAUUCCAGUUGAGUAGAGAGCAAUGUUAAUAAGACUAAGGUUUUGGGCCAGUCCCAUUUUUGCCUACUUGCUUUGCACCUGGAAAAAUAUUUGUAACUGCAUGCAAACUCUUUCCCCUCCUCGUCUUCAACAAUCUGUAAACUUUCCCUGAGCAGCUACCAAGUGUAACACAAAGUGGGAAUGAAGGACCAUUAAGAAAUCAUCUCUGUGCCAUGCGCGGUGGCUCAAGCCUAUAAUCCCAGCACUUUGGGAGGCCGAGGCGGGUGGAUCACCUGAGCUCGGGAGUUCAAGGCCAGCCUGGCCAAUAUGGUGAAACCCUGUCUCUACUAAAAAUACAAAAAAAAAAAAAAAAAAAAAAUAGCUGGAUAUGAUGGCAUGUACCUGUAGUCCCAGCUACUCAGGAGGCUGAGGCAGAAGAAUCGCUUGAACCCAGGAGGCAGAGGUUGCAGUGAGCUGAGAUUGCUCCAUUGCACUCCAGCCUGAGAAACAAAAGCAAAACUCUAUCCCCACCCCCCCCAAAAAAAAGGAAGGAAAAGAGAAGAAAAAAAGUCAUCUGUGCCCUCGAGCAACAUCUUUAACCAUUCGCCUAAUUCAAACCACUGGGAUGAAAAUGUAUAUCCUGUAUAUACCAUCUCUACUGCUGGGAAAAAAGACACGUCAACUCAAUACCCAUCCUAUUUUUAGACGGCCUGAGAUUCGUCCUUAUCCAUGCAGGGCAGUCGGGUAGGACAAUGAAGAGGUGGACUUCUGAAUUUGAGAGAAAUUGGUCUUAUCCCAGAGAAGUGAGGCCACCACCCACCUGCAAUAGCUUGGCUUCCUGGAUCCCUAAGCAAAGACAGAGUCUUGCUCUGUCACUCGGGCUGGAGUACAGUGACACAAUCACGGUUCACUGCAGCCUGGACCUCCCAGGCUCAAGUGAUCCCCCUGCUGCAGCCUCCUGAGUAGCUGGGACUACAGGCCUGUGCCACCAUGUCCAGAGGGUAGCAGACAAGCAAGAGGGUGGAAUUUGCAGCAUCUCAUCUUGGUGAGACAGUUGGAAGACUUUUCUGCCAAUUAUAGUGGUUAAACACUGACUCAACAUCAAACAACGGCAUGAGGGGUCAGAGCCUUCAUUCGUGGACAAGUUUCAAAAACAUGGGAGCACCACCUGUCAUGAGCAAUUUAGUCAGAACAGAAGAGAAUAGAUCACACCCAACAAGACAGAAAAAGCUGCUUUCUGGAGAGGGCGGGAGCUAAUAUUUCCUAACACGGUGAAAUUGUGAAGUGCUUUUUGCAGCCCUUCAUAAUUUCAUCAUCCAAAGGGUUUGCUUUUGGAAUUCUUAGACACUUAAUUCUGUCCCUGCUUUCCGUGUCACUUCCACGGGACACUGAAUUUGGGAAGAGGGAGACCUCACCAAUGAUGGGAAGAACAGAUUGGGGGCUGGCGCCCUUUUGGGUUUGCCAUGUGAACAUCCUCCUGGAACAGUCUCCAUUCUGUCCCAGCAAGACACACUCUGCUCUGUGAAGAACCCAGGUGGGAAAAAAAAAAAAAUCUAUGAGGCCACAGUGGAAAUGCAGCUCAGCAGGACUCUCAGGUACCCCAAAAUUGUCCCAUCUGACAACUCACCACAUUCUAUUUAUUUAUUUAUUUAUUUAUUUUGAGAUGGAGUCUCACUGUGUCACCCAGGCUGGAGUGUAGUGGCGUGAUCUAGGCUCACCGCAGCCUACGCCUCCCAGAUUCAAGCGAUUCUCCUGCCUCAGCCUCCCAUGUAGCUGAGACUACAGGCAUGCGCCACCACACCCAGCUAAUUUUUGUAUUUUUAGUAGAGAUGGGGUUUCGCCAUGUUGCCCAGGCUGGUCUCAAACUUCUGACCUCAGGUGAUCCACCCCCGCCCCUCAGCCUCCCAAAGUUCUGGGAUUACAGUCAUGAGACACUGCACCUGGCCAACACAUUCUGUUUUCAUCAUUAGUGCCUGUCCUCCCUGCUAGCUCAUGGGCUCCCCCAGAGCAGGCAUGUUUGCCCUAGUCACCAUCAAAACUGUCUUAGUACCUGUCACGGUGCCUGGCACAUAGCAGUUAUUCAGUAAAUGUUUGUUGAAUAAAUCAACUAUAAACAUCAAAAUGAUUCCCUUAAAAAGGUCUUCAUUCUUGUUCAGAUGUAGAGAGUUACAUUACAAACACUUGUGUGCUGGGGAUAGGAAGGGACACUGUUGGGUAAUAAUAAGUGCUUGAAACAUGUGGGAGGGCCCUGGAAAAUAGCCCAAAAAGUUCACAUUGUAUCUGAUAAGCAACAGGGAGCUACUGCAGGUUCUUCAGGUCACCAGUAGGCAAGCAGGUGGUGGCUUUCCAGGCUGAAAAGUGUAUUUGAUCUGGAAGAUAGUAGGAUCACAGACAAACAGUGAGUCUUGGAGUAGCCUGAUCACAGUGGCAAGCUCAAGAGACAAUUUUAUGGCUGAGGGCUGAAUGUUUCAGCUGGGUGGGUGUCAAGAAACCAGCAAGACUCCAGGCAUGGUGGCUCAUGCCUGUAAUCCCAACACUUAGGGAGGCCGAGACAGAGGAUCCCUUAAGCCCAGGAGUUUGAGACCAGCCUGGGCAGUAUAAGGAAGCCCUGUCUCUACAAAAAUAAAAACAUAACAAAAUUAGCCAAGUGUGGUGGCGUGUGCCUGUGCUUCUAGCUCCUUCAGAGGCUGAAGUGGGGAGGAUCACUCGAGCCUGGGAGGUUGAGGCUUCACUGAGCUGUGAUCAUGCUGCUGCACUCCAGCCUGGGCGACAGAGUGAGACCCUGUCUCAAAAAACAAACAAACAAACAAGAAACCCAGCAAGAAUUAAGAAUUCUGGUGAGC
rnacentral:lncRNA from 1 species